AUUUAGGUGUCUGCCCUUUUCAGCCUCAUCCACCUCAUUCAUGUGUCUGUCCUGAGGAACUUCAACCACCUCAUCCUGCUGUCUGUCCAGGGAGACCCCAUAAAACUCAUUCAGCUGUCUAUCCUGCGGAACCCCAUGCACCUUGUUCAGGUGUCUCCCCUGGGGGUCCCAUCUACCAUAUCCCUGUAUCUGUCCUGGGGCACUUCAUCUUCUUUCUCUAGUUGUGAGGCCUCUGGGACCUCAGCCUUGUCAACUAAGUGGCCUAUUGAACCUCAGCCUACUUCUCUAUCUUAGUGGCUUCCAUUCCCUUAGCUAUCAUCUUCACACGAGUGACUUCUGGAACCGCAGCCACCUUCUCUACCAUAGUGGCCUCUGUUCCCUUAGCUAUCAUCUUCACAUGAGUGGCUUCUGGAACCUCAGACACCUUCUCUACCAUAGUGGCCUCUGUUCCCUUAGCUAUCAUCUUCACAUGAGUGGCUUCUGGGUCAUCAGUUACCUUCAUCAUCUGAGUGGCCUCUAUUCCCCUUGCUGUCAUCUUCACAUAAGUGGCUUCUGGAACCUCAGCCACCUUCUCUACCUUAGUGGCCUCUGUUAACUUAGCUAUCAUCUUCAUAUGAGUGGCUUCUGGAACCUUGGCCACCUUCUCUACCUUAGUGGCAUCUGUUACCUUAGCUGUCAUCUUCACAAGUGGCUUCUGGCACCUCAGCCACAUUCUCUACCUUAGUGGCCUCUGUUCCCUUAGCUAUCACCUUCACAUGAGUGGCUGCUAACACCUCAACCACCUUCUGUACCUUAGUGGGCUCUGUUACCUUAGCUAUCACCUUCACGAGUGGCCUCUGGAUCCUCAGCCACCUUCUCUACCUUAGUGGCCUCUGUUAACUUAGCUAUUAUCUUCAUAUGAGUGGCUUCUGGAUCCUCAGCCACCUUCUCUACCUUAGUGUCCUCUGUUCCCUUAGUUAUCACCUUCACAUGAGUGGCUUCUGAAAUCUCAACCACCUUCUGUACCAUAGUGGGUUCUGUUACCUUAGCUAUCACCUUCACAUGAGUGGCUACUAACACCGCAACCACCUUCUGUACCUUAGUGGGCUCUGUUCCCUUAGCUAUCAUCUUCAAUGAGUGGCUUUUGGAACCUCAGCCGCCAUCUUUACCUAAGUGGCCUCUGCUCCCUAAGCUAUCAUCUUCACAAGUGGCUUCUGGAACCUCAGCCACCUUCUCUGCCUUAGUGACCACUGUUACCUUAAUUGUCAUCUUCACGAGUGGCCUCUGGAUCCUCAGCCACCUUCUCUACCUUAGUGGCCUCUGUUACCUUAGUUGUCAUCUUCACGAGUGGCUUCUGGCACAUCAGCCACAUUCUCUACCUUAGUUGCCAAUGUUCCCUUAGCUAUCAUCUUCACAAGUGGCUUCUGGAACCUCAGCCACCUUCUCUGCCUUAGUGGCCACUGUUACCUUAACUGUCAUCUUCACGAGUGGCUUCUGGAACCUCAGCCACCAUCUCCACCUUAGUGGCCUCUGUUCCCUUAGCUAUCUCCUUCACAUGAGUGGCGUCUGGAACCUUAGACACCUUGUAUACCUUAGCGGCUUCUGUUUUCUUACCC
rnacentral:lncRNA from 13 species